UCCAUUUAGGCUUAUUGGGUUUCCCUUCAAAUUGUUCUUACAUUUCAACCAUUUUUCAUUUUGUUCUUGUAAUGUUCUACUUCAAACAGAUGUUCACGAAGGGCUUGUUCUUAAUGUUCAUAAAUGCAAAAGUGCAAGUACAAUAAGUAGAAUCAGAUGCAGAAUCAAUGAUUUGUACAAAAUACUUUGCUUGACAUUAUUGAGGCAAGAGUUAUCACAUGAGAACAGCGCUGAUAGGCUUGCAACAAAGUCUCAAAAAGAGGAGCUACUAACAGUUCCAUCCAAAUUUAGCUAGAACUGUAGAGGUCUAAAACAACUUCAUCUACCAAGUCUUGGAGAAUAUGCCUAGCAACUUCAGUGCCACAUUCAUAUUCUUCAAUCUCGAAGUCCGUAGAGGAUGGGUUCUCAUUCUAUUAGCUCGUCUGGAUUCAAAUUACCAAAUUCUAUCCAAUCUUUGCCCUCUUCAAUAAUACCAGCAAUCAGAAUCUCUUUGGUCAUACUUGAUGGUAGUUUGGUGCAGAUUCUGAAACCAGAAUCAGAGUAUCGAGCAAAUUUUGAGUCUCGGUACUCUAAUAGACAAUCAAAGGCGAAUCCUUUAAGCUGAUUCAUCUGCUUUGGGUCGUCACAGCCAAGCAACUGACCGAAACUCAUCCACAAAUGACUCGAAAACAUUUCAUUUUUAUUGAGGAGAAAAUAGCUCACAGAGAACCCAUCCUCUACAGGUAGAGCCUGCUGUUGAGGUGUAGUUCCAAAUAUAAGUUCAUUAUUCAAAAUGGCCUGUUUUGCGUAACUGAGUUUGCUUCCUUUUAAUUGAUCAAUAUUGCUUAGCACUCCAGAAACAUUAUUAAAAUGGUCUGUGAUCAGUUCUCUGCAACUCCUCCUGAUGGAUAAUGAGGUCUCACAAUCCGAAAUAUCUCUAUCAGGUUCUGGAAAGAGUCGUUUAUCAUCAAUAGAGUCCAUUGAUACAGCAAGAACUUUGUCUUCUGGAAGUAAACAAGCAUCAUAUUUAUUAGAAGCAUGGAUGCAUGAAAUCCAAGUUCAGAGUUGUCUUAUUUUUUAAUUUAUGUAUUUGACGGAAAGAAAGGAAGUAUGCAAAUAGUAAAAUGUCGAACACAUCCUGAACUAUGGUGAUCAAGUGAAUUCCCAACUAAAUCUGUUGCUGCUGAAUCUGGUAUGGCUUGAGCACGAAUUCAAAAGCAAUAAUAAGAUUCAGACAAAUAACAAUAGGUUUAUAACUGAAGAAAGACAACAACAACAACAACAACAACAAACCCAGUGUAUUCCCACUUAGUGGGGUCUGGGGGGGGUAAGAUGUACGCAGUCCAUACCUCUACCUCUGAUGAAGUAGAAAGGCUGUUUCCGAAAGACCCCCGGCUCAAGUCACGAGAUAUCACACAAACACAUAGUACAGCACAGAAGC
rnacentral:lncRNA from 1 species